rnacentral:tRNA from 1 species
AAGGAAGGAGCGACAUCAGUAAGUACUGCUAAUCCUUAUCACCCGAGGUUAAAGUCCUCGGCUUCCUUA